rnacentral:rRNA from 1 species
GUGAGGAAUAUUGGUCAAUGGACGAGAGUCUGAACCAGCCAAGUCGCGUGAAGGAAGACGGUUCUAUGAAUUGUAAACUUCUUUUGUGCAGGAAUAAAGUGGGUUACGUGUAACCUUUUGUAUGUACUGUACGAAUAAGGAUCGGCUAACUCCGUGCCAGCAGCCGCGGUAAUACGGAGGAUCCGAGCGUUAUCCGGAUUUAUUGGGUUUAAAGGGUGCGUAGGUGGAUUGAUAAGUCAGCGGUGAAAGUUUGCAGCUUAACUGUAAAAUUGCCGUUGAAACUGUCGGUCUUGAGUGCAAAUGAGGUAGGCGGAAUGUGUUGUGUAGCGGUGAAAUGCUUAGAUAUAACACAGAACUCCGAUUGCGAAGGCAGCUUACUGGGAUGCAACUGACACUGAUGCACGAAAGCGUGGGUAUCAAACAGGAUUAGAUACCGAGUAGUCC